rnacentral:rRNA from 1 species
AGUCAUAUGCUUGUCUCAAAGAUUAAGCCAUGCAUGUCUCAGUACAAGCCGAAUUAAGGUGAAACCGCGAAAGGCUCAUUAAAUCAGUUAUGGUUCCUUAGAUCGUACCCACAUUUACUUGGAUAACUGUGGUAAUUCUAGAGCUAAUACAUGCAAACAGAGCUCCGACCGGAGACGGAAGGAGCGCUUUUAUUAGAUCAAAACCAAUCGGCGGCGGGUUCGCUCGUCGUCGUACAACUUGGUGAAUCUGAAUAACUUUCUGCUGAUCGCAUGGUCUCGCACCGGCGACGCAUCUUUCAAAUGUCUGCCUUAUCAACUGUCGAUGGUAGGUUCUGCGCCUACCAUGGUUGUAACGGGUAACGGGGAAUCAGGGUUCGAUUCCGGAGAGGGAGCCUGAGAAACGGCUACCACAUCCAAGGAAGGCAGCAGGCGCGCAAAUUACCCACUCCCGGCACGGGGAGGUAGUGACGAAAAAUAACGAUACGGGACUCAUCCGAGGCCCCGUAAUCGGAAUGAGUACACUCUAAACCCUUUAACGAGGAUCAAUUGGAGGGCAAGUCUGGUGCCAGCAGCCGCGGUAAUUCCAGCUCCAAUAGCGUAU